rnacentral:rRNA from 1 species
UACGUAGGUGGCGAGCGUUGUCCGGAAUCACUGGGCGUAAAGGGCGCGUAGGCUGUUAUUUAAGUCAGGUGUGUAAUCUGCGGGCUUAACCCGGAGUUUGCACCUGAUACUGGAUGGCUUGAGUGCUGGAGAGGGCAGUGGAAUUCCUAGUGUAGCGGUGAAAUGCGUAGAUAUUAGGAGGAACACCAGUGGCGAAGGCGGCUGCCUGGACAGUAACUGACGCUGAGGCGCGAAAGCGUGGGGAGCAAACAGG